GGAAGAAUGGCCGAGCGGUAAGGCAGCGGUUUGCUAAACCGUAACGCCCGAAAGGGCGUGGAUGGGUUCGACUCCCUCUUCUUCCUCCA
rnacentral:tRNA from 1 species